AUCAGGAAGUGGAUCAAAAAUUGCUUCUUCAGCAGCCUGGUGAAUGUCCAUUGAUUCUUGAAUAGUAGAGGUAGCUUCCAUAGAAGGUGAUGUAACUGUCGAAUCUUCAAUGACAACAGCAACGUUUUCGUUCAUUACAUCAG